CCUACGGGAGGCAGCAGUGGGGAAUUUUGGACAAUGGGCGAAAGCCUGAUCCAGCAAUGCCGCGUGCAGGAUGAAGGCCUUCGGGUUGUAAACUGCUUUUGUACGGAACGAAACGGUUCGCCUUAAUACGGUGGGCUAAUGACGGUACCGUAAGAAUAAGCACCGGC
rnacentral:rRNA from 1 species